UGAGGAAUAUUGGUCAAUGGGCGAGAGCCUGAACCAGCCAUGCCGCGUGAAGGAUGAAGGCGUUCUGCGUUGUAAACUUCUUUUAUUAGGGAAGAAACCUGAGAUUUUCAUUUCAGCCGACGGUACCUAAUGAAUAAGCACCGGCUAACUCCGUGCCAGCAGCCGCGGUAAUACGGAGGGUGCAAGCGUUAUCCGGAUUUACUGGGUUUAAAGGGUGUGUAGGCGGAUUAGUAAGUCAGGGGUGAAAUCCCGGAGCUCAACUCCGGAACUGCCUUUGAUACUAUUAGUCUUGAAUAUUGUUGAGGUGGGCGGAACGGGUCAUGUAGCGGUGAAAUGCAUAGAUAUGACCCGGAACACCGAUUGCGAAGGCAGCCCGCUAAGCAAUGAUUGACGCUGAGGCACGAAAGCGUGGGGAUCAAACA
rnacentral:rRNA from 1 species